rnacentral:rRNA from 1 species
GAUGAACGCUGGCGGCGUGCCUAAUACAUGCAAGUCGAGCGAACAGACGAGGAGCUUGCUCCUCUGACGUUAGCGGCGGACGGGUGAGUAACACGUGGAUAACCUACCUAUAAGACUGGGAUAACUUCGGGAAACCGGAGCUAAUACCGGAUAAUAUAUUGAACCGCAUGGUUCAAUAGUGAAAGACGGUUUUGCUGUCACUUAUAGAUGUAUCCGCGCCGCAUUAGCUAGUUGGUAAGGUAACGGCUUACCAAGGCAACGAUGCGUAGCCGACCUGAGAGGGUGAUCGGCCACACUGGAACUGAGACACGGUCCAGACUACUACGGGAGGCAGCAGUAGGGAAUCUUCCGCAAUGGGCGAAAGCCUGACGGAACAACGCCACGUGAGUGAUGAAGGUCUUCGGAUCGUAAAACUCUGUUAUUAGGGAAGAACAAAUGUGUAAGUAACUAUGCACGUCUUGACGGUACCUAAUCAGAAAGCCACGGCUAACUACGUG